rnacentral:rRNA from 1 species
CCUACGGUGUGCAGCAGUGAGGAAUAUUGGUCAAUGGCCGAGAGGCUGAACCAGCCAAGUCGCGUGAGGGAAGAAUGUCCUAUGGAUUGUAAACCUCUUUUGUCAGGGAGCAAAGUCACCCACGUGUGGGUGUUGGAGAGUACCUGAAGAAAAAGCAUAGGCUAACUCCGUGCCAGCAGCCGCGGUAAUACGGAGGAUGCGAGCUUUAUCCGGAUUUAUUGGGUUUAAAGGGUGCGUAGGCGGUCGGAUAAGUUAGAGGUGAAAUCCCGAGGCUCAACUUCGGAAUUGCCUCUGAUACUUUUCGGCUAGAGAGUAGUUGCGGUAGGCGGAAUGUAUGGUGUAGCGGUGAAAUGCAUAGAUAUCGCGCAGAACUCCGAUUGCGAAGGCAGCGUACCGGCGCCAGACUGACGCUGAGGCACGAAAGCGUGGGGAUCGAACAGGAUUAGAUACCCUGGUAGUC